GCUUUGAAUACCUGGCUGAAAGUUUUUUUAUUUAAAGCAAAUGAAUUGAAUGUGUGAUAUAUACCAACACAUGGUAUUGCACACAAGUUCUAUUGGUAUACUUUAUAGUUUCUAUUUCUGAAACAAGUGUAUAUAGAAUGAAUAGAUCUAUUGUAAUGAAUAACAAUGGAUUUUUGACCACAUGGUGUGACGAGCGGGGUUUCAUAGUGUUUACUACAAGUUCUUUCUAGACACAUUAAAAUAACACAUUUAAUUUUAGGAAAUUCUAUAGCGAAAAAAAUUCAAACAUCUAUUUUAAACAAAAAUGAAUCCUUUAAAUACUCCUUUGCUUGACGCGAAAAUGUUUGAUCCCGGUCAUAUGUCCGGUCGACAUAUUUCUAAUUCAAAAACACCUAACCCUCAGUAUGUCCUGAUAGGAAUGUUAAUUCAUCAGACGAGGGGGCAGGGGCUUUUUAAAUAUUUUUUUUUUUUAUAUAAAACCGUAUUAUUAAAACACAUUUAUGAUUGCCUUCAAUAACAUGAUACAGGUAAAUACUUUGGGUUUCGAAUUCAACGCUUGACCAAACAAAUGUCAGUCGCCUUUUACCUGUUCAUAUUGAAAACUGCAAAGGAG
rnacentral:lncRNA from 1 species